CUCUGGGUGCUGCGGCUGCCCUGCUGGCCCUGCAGGCUGUCCUGUGUGGCACUGGGGAAGGUGGCAGGAACGAGGAGUCUCCGGAGAACAGGUGACCCAGGAAGCAAGCCUCUACUCCAAAUUGCGUCCCAGAGCCCCUCCCGAAGAAUGCUUUUGCUGCCCCCCACUGUUUACCAAGGAGGUGCCGACGCCCUGGGGACCAGGCAUCUCGGGGAACAGCCAGGCUGAAUGAAGCAGCCUGUGGCCCAGCCUGAAAGGCUUAGGGCUCGGCCAGCUUGAGGAGGCCAGGCACGACAUGGUGGGCCAGCCUCUGCCAGCCUGUUGGGACUGCAGCCAGGCUUCUCCCCUCGGGAUGGUGCCCGAGUCAGAGCAAGGCUGCCCUCCUACGUGACUGCCCACCCCGGGCUGCAGCCUUGGGGUCUGUGUUCCCGCUGACCAGGUAAGGCUGGAGCAGGGAGGGUCUACCCUGGUAGGGACGCCCCUCCUAGAGCCCAGGUCUCCUAUCCCACCCCUGCCCCGACCCUGAUGCCCCUGGGACUCUAACCUCCUCUUCUUUCCUCCUGCUGUUUCUUUCCUAGCCUGUGUGUCUGUCCAUCUUCAUCUGUCACCAUCCCAUUCAAGGCCCGGCCGCACGCCACCUCCUCCAGAGAGCCAUCCUCCCUCUGCCCUCCUCUGAAUCGCAUGGACAUCUGCACCUUCUGGCGCCUACUGCUCUGUGUUCUAGGUGAUCGGGCCUGUGACUUAUGGUCCUAACGGAUACCAAGUGUUCUCCUUGAGGACAGGACCAGUCCCGCUCACCUCUGCCUUCAUUAUUAUUUGGUCAGAAUUAUUUUGGUUGCCAGUAACAGCAUCUUAGCUCAAACUGGCACUUUACUGAUGCAUGUUACUGAAAGUCUCGGGGCUUCAGGUACAGCUGGGUCCAGGGCCGCAUUCAUCAGGGCUGUGUCCAUCUCUUGGUCUUGCUGUCUGGCAGGUUCUCCCCAUGUGGUGAGGAUGGCCAGCUCAGCUAUCCCAGCAGAAGCCCCAGACUUGGCGUCCAUUGGUUGGGCUUGGGGCAUGUGCCCACUCCUGUGUGAGUGAUUGUCCACAGAGCAGCUGUUCUGAUUGGUCAGGCUUGCAUCAUGUACUCACCUUAGAGUUGGGGGUGCUGCCAUGGACCAAGAGUAGGGGGCAGGGUGCCUCCCAAGGGAAAUUGUGACCGCUGGGGGGCGAAACUGUAGGAGCCCCAGAGAUGAUCCUCCCUGACUCCUUCCCGACUCUUGUUGCCCCAUUCGGGGGUCGGCAGGUCUUACAUACCUCCCUCCUGGGGACUUCUCGCACUCGGUCCUUGUUCUCAUCAGGAACUUGCCCCCUGCCCCACUCCGCUCCCAGCCCACCAUUGUCCACCCUCCCUGCAGCAGCCAAAGGGGACUUCCUAAAGCAUAAGCAAAUCACAUCCUGCCUAAAACCCUCGAUGGCUCCCCAUUUCCCCCUGAACGAAGUCCAUUCUUCUUAAGAAAGCAUGCCCAGCCCUUGGUGAUCUGGGCCCGUGCCCCUCCAGCCCCGUUUCCCUCUGUUCCUUCCUCCCUCUGGGACUCAAUGCUCUAAGCUCCUCAAACCACCUCGAGUUGCCCCAUGCCUCUGCCUGGGAUGCCCUUUCCCAGCUUGUCUGACUGGCAAAUCCUUCCUCUUCAAUACCCAGUUCUGUCAUCAUCUCCUCCAGGAAGGCUUCCAGGACUUCCGUGAGUAGUUAAGACUGCCAUCUGCUAGGCAGCCACAGCUGUUCUUCCCUCUGAGCCAGGCCAACUGGGGAUUUCACCCUCUGGCCCCUGCUUGCCCUUGAGUGCUUCUUCCCGCUCCCUCCCCGGUGCCUAGCUUGGAGCCAGGCCCAGCGAUGGCUCCUGGGCAGUGCCUGUUGACAGAUCUGAGGGCCCAAGGGAGUGGGGAACCUGGGUGGGCCCUGACUGCCCUGGGGAAGACGGAGUUACAAGCUUCCUGCUGAGGCCCCUUUUGCCCUCAGCUUAGAAGCCACCUCCUUCACAUGGCCUUCCCGGCCCAGCCUCUGAGAUGUCGCCCUCCAGUCACCUUAUCAUAUCUCUGGUUGUAGCCUGGCUGCUAUUUUCCCUGUUUGUUUACUUCUUGUCUCUUUCAGCCCCUGACACUCACGAGCUUGUCAGUUCCACGAGAGCAGAUUUCAGGAUCUGCCCUCUUCCAGUACUUGGCAUGGUACCCCUCACCAAAGGGGCCCAGGAAAUGGUCACUAAAUGAAUGACCUCCGGCACCCUCCCCGUUGGACCCACCUUUGGGAGGAAUUGUCAUGGUUCCCAGGUUGAGGGGGCUGGUUCCAAUGGGGGAAGCUCCAGUUGCCUUGGUGGCCCUCUCCCCUGGGGACCCCCGUCUACCUCACAGCCCAAGCCUUUGGAUGGCAGAGGUAUUGGAAUGACUCAUUCCAGGUGGGGCAUCUCAAGACCUAAUUCUCAGCAAAACUCCCAAUAACACCAAAGCAGAAGAACCUGCAGGUGGUGGGGACGGGCUGAGCUCCCCUGCCCCGGCUCCCUCUAGCUGACCUUCCAGGAGGCUCACAGGCUCCCCUAGCCUCACCAUCCUGUCUGUACAGCCUUGGGCCUUGCCUUCUCUUUCUCCCCCCCUCUCCCCGCUCUGCUCUCUUUCUUUAUCUUCUUCCUUUUCCCCUAUCAUCUUCCCCAUCCACUGCACAGCAGAUGGCACAGAGUAGGUGCACAACAGCUAUCUGUUAGUUGGUUCAAUUUAUAACAUUUUCCUUUUAUUGGGAAAGAGAUGGAGAUACCCCCUCCCAACCUUUCCCCUCAUCUUCCUCCACGGCCAAGGUUCCUGAUGCAGAGUGACUUGACACCUAGGUGUCAGUCCGCCCCUUCUCUUUCGUUUGGUUCAUUUGUCCAUCCACUCAUCUAACUAUCCACCCAUCCAUCCAUCUCUCCAUCCAUCCACCCAUCUAUCCAUCUGUCCAUCCGUCUACUCAUCCCUCCAUCCCUCCAUCCAUCUACUGGGCAUGGACUGGCCCUGGAUUAACGUGACACAGUAGGCGGGGCAGUGAGUGGAGGGAUAAGACAAACGCACACCCAGAUGUACUGGAAGUGGGGACUACAAACUCAGGUGCAGGUGGGAACCGAAGUAAGCUGGGUGUAGGACAGCCAGGAUGGUGCCUGCACAGGUAUGGAACUUCUGAACCCCUAGGCUCACAUCACAAAAUACCUCCUCAGCCUGCUAAUGGUCUGCUGGCUGUCAGUCUGUGAGUCCCACCUGGAGCGACAACAGGAAGCCCAGCCAAGGGGGAUACCUCACAUGGUUGGGGGCAGGAAUGGGGGCACUAGGCAGGGCUUCCUGGAAGAGGAGACAUUUGCACUGGACCUGAAGGCUGAGUCCACAAGCCCAGGAUGGAGGCUUUGCAAGGAGAGGGAGUGGCCUCCUGGCAUCACAUUUCCUGGCCCAAACACAAUGUUUGUAUGUUCAUGGACAGCCUCUGACUGUCCUGCUGCUUCCUCUCCCUCCUUCAACUCAAGGGCGAAGGAGAGUGACUGCCUGCUGUUCCGCUCCUCUCUGCCCAGGUGCCCAAUGGCACUGUGGAGGAGAAGCACGCGCACCUGAACAAGAACUCAUGGGCAGGGGCCUCGUCUGUCUUGUUCACUGCUACAGCCAGGACCUAGAGCAGGCGCUCAGUGAACACUUGCUGGGUGACCAAACGGCUGGAGAUGGCCCACACUGAAUGAAGGAAUGCACAGAUGAGGCGGGUCAGCAGGCUUCAUAGCGAUUUGGGGUGGGUGGACUGUCCUAGCUCAGACUGCGAUGGGGAAGGCAAGGGCAGAAACCAGCUUAUUUUGCUUUUCCUUUCUUUUAAAGGAAUUAUUAGUCUUUAGUUAGAGAAGCAUGCACAACUGCAUCCUCGUGGUCAGAAAAAGGAUGCAGACACUACAGGGCAGGCCCAAGGCCCCCUGUCUCCCCAGCUCCAGACCUCACUCCGGUUCCACAGGUGGACGUGGUGGAGUGUUCCCUUCCACCGCCUUCUCUGCACGUUUGAUGGAUUUGUGUGCGUGUGUGUGUCGUGUGUGUUUGGUGCCUGUGUGUGGAUGUGGCCAAUCACAAUACAUGGCAUCGUUUUGUCAGAUUAAAAAAAAAAAAUAGGUGGAAUUGCACGGUGUGUGCUGUCUGCACCUUCCUUCUUUAGGCUUGCUUUCUUUUUCGGGAAUAGCAUUUCCUGGAGCUUCCUUUUCACAGGGCACCCUUGUCCUUUUUCCUCGCUGCUGCCGUAGCCUGAGGUUGCACAGCUCCUUUUUGUCUUGACCCUCCUGCUGUCAACUUAGGAUGCUCCUAAUAUUUGUUCCCGUGGAGACAGUGUCCGCAAAUGUACUUCUGCCCCCCUCCUUGUGUCCCCGUGUCAUUUCUGGGUCAUGGAUUGGCAUGGCUAUCUCUUUCCUGAUGAUCCCAAAGGAAAGAAGGCCCCUCCGUGCUGCCCUGCCCAUACCCGCCUGUCCUUUGAGCCUCGGUGUCAGGGAGGCCCUGGAAGAACAGGCCCUGGAGAUGAGGAGUACAGGUGUGAAGGGCCCGGUCCCUGGAGGAGGGGCCUUCUGACAGGGCCUUGACUCAGGCUGGAGGUACUUCCCCAGUACCCACUCUGCGCCAGGCCCAGGACACGGCACUGAGGUGUAUUGGCAGCCCCAUGCCUGCUUCGUGGGGCUCCCAGUCCACCACGUGUUUGUGUAGGUGCUGGGCUGGGGGCCCGAGGUAAGGACUGGGUGGGGUGGCUGCCAACCCCAUAAUGGUGGCCUGGAACGAGUGACUUCUGUAGGAUCACAGAGACUGGGCACGUGAGGAGGUGGAAGAUCACUUCACCUCCUCCUGCCCAGCACCUCUGCAGUCUGAUGCCCAGUGCUCACAAGCCCUCCACGCUCCCCUGUCUUCGGCCCCUCCCUUCAUCCAGCACUGAAAAGCAUCUCUAAUUCCGGCGGGCACCGUGGUUGUAGCUCUGUGGCAAGCUCGGCACAGGUGCCAACUGUUAUUCACUCUGCAGCUUCCAUUCCCACAGCUCAGCACCUGCAAAGCCCCCAUUAGCAUCGUGCCAAGGAGAGGGGCUGCGGCUGUGUGUGUGCGUGCCUGCGUGCGAGCGCACGUGCCCGUCUGCCGGUGCUCGCGGGAGCCACGAGGGAAAUUUCCAGCACAAAGAUCGUAUGCCUGAGAGAGAGGAGAAUUGCUCAGCAAACUUCAGAAGCGAUCAAAAUGUCCUCUCCAUAAAGUCCCGGCUUAAAAAAUGUUAGCAGGGAGGGAGUGGCAGGAGCCGUGCUCUGGGUCCUGUGGACACUAGUGACGCCUGUGCUGUGAUGUCCAGGGAAUGACCAAGAAGCACGAGGUGCUGGGGCUCAGCCCUCUAGCUGGGACAGGCGGCUUCCAGCGAUGGCUCUGCCACCUACAGCCUUGUGAGCUCAAGCAAGUCACUUCCCUCUCCCAGCCUCUGGGUCCCCGUGGUAAGGGGACAGGGGUGUGUUAUGUCAGGACAUAGAAGCUGAUGUGGGAGAAUGCCAGCCCCUCACCAACACCUGUCCCCUCCUUCAGGAGGCAGGGACUGUUCUGGCAGCUGCCAGCCGGUUCAUGUCCACGAGCCCUCCUCCUCACCAUCAGCGUGCCCCAACGGGGAGCUGGAGGCCCGAGUGCCGGGAAGUCAGCUGCCUCGGAACUGGGCAGCCUGGCCUUCACCCAGGAACCCUCAGAGGACAUGGUGACACCUCCCUCUGUCCCUGUGGAAGCUGCCCCCAGCGCCCCCGCCCCUGCCCUAUGCCAGCUGAACUGGAUGGAGCCGUUGGAAAAUAAAGGCUGAGCGGUGUUGAAAAGCAUCCAAUUGUGUCUACAGUGUGGCAGAUGUCCGCACCGCCUCGCACAGAAGGAGAGUCAGGGCGCGGCUCUCUGGCAGUGGGCGCCUGCGAGGAGCCCAGUGUAUUUAAAAAGUCCCGUCCAGGUGGGACUGGGACCCAGCAGACACCUGCUCCCCCACCGCAGAGUCCUUUCUUUCCCAUCGCAGUCUUCCAGCAGCUCCCACUGCUCUAGGAUAAAGGCCCACUGCUCGCCAGAGCUCCUGAUCCCCCACCUCCUGCUCCCCCGGCCUCCACGUUCCAGCCACGCGCACCUUCUUCUGCCUUCUAGAACACGAUGCACUCAUUUCUGCCAAAGGGUCUCUGGGUCUGCUGUUCCCUGUGGGGAGAGCUUGUCCCCAGAUCUUUUACCCGUAAGAGCCCUUCCUGAUUUAUAAUAACUUCCCCCACAGCCACCCUUGCUGCUCCCUUCCUUCCCCUGCUCUCUGUGUUUUAUUUCUGUGCCGCCGUCUGCGCCCUCCAGACGGGUCCUCGUGGCCCCAGCUCAGCCAGCCCCCAGGCAGAGACACGUUGCUGGCAGUCUGGAGCCUCGGUUCAUCCCUUCCUGUCCCACUGGCUUGCUGCCUCCUCGUGGAGCUCAAGAUGUCAUCUGGCAGCUCCAAGCUGAGCAAGAGCUGGGCUCUCCCCAUGACUCCUACCAGCUGGCCCAGCAGGCCCUGACCUCUGCCCUGCACAGCCCUGCAGAGACUCAGACGCCGAGGCCAGGCGCUUGGCCUUCACUGCAGGUGGACGUUGUUCUUGCCCUGCUGGUGGCUAUGGCCCCUUCCUGGGGUAAUUUCCAUUGGAGGAACACCCUCCCCACUUUCAAUCCAAGUGGUUCAAGUGGGGCUGUCACAUGGCCUCCCCAGUCUCAAGGUGAGCCUGUGGUGAGCCCAGCCAAUCAGAGGUUUCCUUUCCCUGGAUAUAAGGAUCAGCUCCUGGAUGGUGUGUGAUGCAAGCUGAGGCCCAUGGGGCCUUUUGUUAACACCAUACGUAAUUAACACAUCUGUAUUAGCAGCAUUCGUAAUUGCUGUUGUGAUCAGUUUCUCUAUGGAGAAGGGUGGGGUAUGAUGACAGCCUAUGAGGGAGAUGUGAGCAGCUCAGAGGGAAGGGGACAUAUCAGAGAGAGCUUCCCAUGGAAGCGAGCUUUGAGCUGAGACCUGAAGGAUAUGCAGGAAUUACCUAGGAGAAGGGGAAGGGAAGUGAAGAUGAUUCCAGAAAACAGAGUGGUGCGUGCAAAGGCCCUGGGGUGGGUGUGAGCACAUUCUACAAACUAAAGACCAGUAUGGCUGGGGUGCAGCACAUGGCGGGUAGGAACAAGGAAAGGCUGAAAGGUGGGUGGAUCUAGACUCCAUGGGGCCUUGGAAGAUGGUGAGGAGUCUCUGGGAAGCCCGUGAAAGUUUAAAGUGUGUGUGUGUUUGGGGAUGGGGAGGAGAUUUGUGUCUUGCUGGCUGCUGUGUGUCUAUGGCUGCUAUGUGAAACUCUUCUAAACACUGUUUUAAAACAAACAAAUGUGUGCCAAUCAGAUGCAGCCUUGACUCAGUUUGAGCCCCUGGGGGAGGAAUUCAAGCCUGGCCUGGGAACUCAAGGGUAUUUUAGGUCUUGGAGGCCACACCCUGUGUCAGAAAGGAUUUAUGGAGGGCACCAGGAAUCUGGG
rnacentral:lncRNA from 1 species